UACGUAGGGUGCGAGCGUUAAUCGGAAUUACUGGGCGUAAAGCGUGCGCAGGCGGUUUUGUAAGUCAGAUGUGAAAUCCCCCGGGCUUAACCUGGGAACUGCGUUUGAAACUACAAGGCUAGAGUGUAGCAGAGGGGGGUGGAAUUCCACGUGUAGCAGUGAAAUGCGUAGAGAUGUGGAGGAACACCGAUGGCGAAGGCAGCCCCCUGGGUUAACACUGACGCUCAGGCACGAAAGCGUGGGGAGCAAACAGG
rnacentral:rRNA from 1 species